GCGCUUGGUUUGGUAGGACAUACACUAAAAGUGGAACUAUACAGAGAAGAUCAGAUGGCCCCUGUGCAAAGAUGACAAGGAAAUUCAUGCUGAUUUCACAUUUUCA